rnacentral:rRNA from 1 species
GAUGAACGCUGGCGGCGUGCCUAAUACAUGCAAGUCGAGCGAACAGAUGAGGAGCUUGCUCCUCUGACGUUAGCGGCGGACGGGUGAGUAACACGUGGAUAACCUACCUAUAAGACUGGGAUAACUUCGGGAAACCGGAGCUAAUACCGGAUAAUAUAUUGAACCGCAUGGUUCAAUAGUGAAAGACGGCUUUGCUGUCACUUAUAGAUGGAUCCGCGCCGCAUUAGCUAGUUGGUAAGGUAACGGCUUACCAAGGCAACGAUGCGUAGCCGACCUGAGAGGGUGAUCGGCCCCCCUGGAACUGAGACCCGGUCCAGACUCCUACGGGAGGCAGCAGUAGGGAAUCUUCCGCAAUGGGCGAAAGCCUGACGGAGCAACGCCGCGUGAGUGAUGAAGGUCUUCGGAUCGUAAAACUCUGUUAUUAGGGAAGAACAAAUGUGUAAGUAACUAUGCACGUCUUGCCGGUACCUAAUCAGAAAGCCACGGCUAACUACGU